rnacentral:rRNA from 1 species
GACAUAGGUGGCGAACGUUAUCCGGAAUUAUUGGGCGUAAAGGAUGCGCGAGAUGGUAGAAUAAGUUACUGGUCGAUGCCAAACUCAAUUUGACGGAAGCUGGUAAUACUGUUCUGCUCGAGGGCAGGAGAGGUUGAUGGAAUUCUGUGUGGAGCGGUGAAAUGCGUUGAUCUACAGAGGAACACCAAAAAAGGCGAAGGCGAGUCAACUAUUCUAGUUCCUGACAUUGAGGCAUGAAAGCGUGGGGAGCAAACCGG